rnacentral:rRNA from 1 species
GCAAAACGCGAAGAACCUUACCUGGGCUUGACAUCCCCUACAAAGCUAUAGAGAUAUAGUGGAGGUAUGAAGGGUGACAGGUGGUGCAUGGUUGUCGUCAGCUCGUGUCGUGAGAUGUUCGGUUAAGCCCGAUAACGAGCGCAACCCUUAUUUUUAGUUACUAACGAGUAAUGUCGAGGACUCUAAAGAGACUGCCGGUAACAAACCGGAGGAAGGUGGGGAUGACGUCAAAUCAUCAUGCCCCUUACGUCCAGGGCUACAGGCGUGCUACAAUGGCCAGUACAAAGAGAAGCAAUACCGUGAGGAGGAGCCAAACUCCAAAACUGGUCUCAGUUCGGAUUGAAGUCUGCAACUCGACUUCAUGAAGUUGGAAUCGCUAGUAAUCCCAAAUCAGCAUGUUGGGGUGAAUACGUUCCUGGGUCUUGUACACACCG